rnacentral:rRNA from 1 species
AGUGAACGCUGGCGGUAGGCCUAACACAUGCAAGUCGAACGGCGGCACAGUAAGAGCUUGCUCUUACGGGUGGCGAGUGGCGGACGGGUGAGGAAUACAUCGGAAUCUACUUUUUCGUGGGGGAUAACGUAGGGAAACUUACGCUAAUACCGCAUACGACCUACGGGUGAAAGCAGGGGAUCUUCGGACCUUGCGCGAUUGAAUGAGCCGAUGUCGGAUUAGCUAGUUGGCGGGGUAAAGGCCCACCAAGGUGACGAUCCGUAGCUGGUCUGAGAGGAUGAUCAGCCACACUGGAACUGAGACACGGUCCAGACUCCUACGGGAGGCAGCAGUGGGGAAUAUUGGACAAUGGGCGCAAGCCUGAUCCAGCCAUACCGCGUGGGUGAAGAAGGCCUUCGGGUUGUAAAGCCCUUUUGUUGGGAAAGAAAAGCAGCAGGUUAAUACCCCGCUGUUCUGACGGUACCCAAAGAAUAAGCACCGGCUAACUUCGUG